AAAUUGAAGAGUUUGAUCAUGGCUCAGAUUGAACGCUGGCGGCAGGCCUAACACAUGCAAGUCGAACGGUAACAGGAAGAAGCUUGCUUCUUUGCUGACGAGUGGCGGACGGGUGAGUAAUGUCUGGGAAACUGCCUGAUGGAGGGGGAUAACUACUGGAAACGGUAGCUAAUACCGCAUAACGUCGCAAGACCAAAGAGGGGGACCUUCGGGCCUCUUGCCAUCGGAUGUGCCCAGAUGGGAUUAGCUUGUUGGUGGGGUAACGGCUCACCAAGGCGACGAUCCCUAGCUGGUCUGAGAGGAUGACCAGCCACACUGGAACUGAGACACGGUCCAGACUCCUACGGGAGGCAGCAGUGGGGAAUAUUGCACAAUGGGCGCAAGCCUGAUGCAGCCAUGCCGCGUGUAUGAAGAAGGCCUUCGGGUUGUAAAGUACUUUCAGCGGGGAGGAAGGGAGUAAAGUUAAUACCUUUGCUCAUUGACGUUACCCGCAGAAGAAGCACCGGCUAA
rnacentral:rRNA from 1 species